GACAGAGGGGGCAAGCGUUGCUCGGAAUUACUGGGCGUAAAGGGCGCGUAGGCGGGCUGGCAAGUCGGUCGUGAAAUCCCUCGGCUCAACUGAGGAUCGUCGAUCGAUACUGCCGUUCUUGAGGAUUGCAGAGGAGACUGGAAUUCCCGGUGUAGCGGUGAAAUGUGUAGAGAUCGGGAGGAACACCGGUGGCGAAGGCGGGUCUCUGGGCAAUUCCUGACGCUGAGGCGCGAAAGCGUGGGGAGCAAACAGG
rnacentral:rRNA from 1 species